AUUGAACGCUGGCGGAAUGCUUUACACAUGCAAGUCGAACGGUAGAGGGGGCAACCCCUCGAGAGUGGCGAACGGGUGAGCAAUAUAUCGGAACGUACCCAGGAGUGGGGGAUAACGUAGCGAAAGUUACGCUAAUACCGCAUACGUCCUAAGGGAGAAAGCGGGGGAUCGCAAGACCUCGUGCUCAUGGAGCGGCCGAUGUCAGAUUAGGUAGUUGGUGGGGUAAAGGCCCACCAAGCCGACGAUCUGUAGCUGGUCUGAGAGGACGACCAGCCACACUGGGACUGAGACACGGCCCAGACUCCUACGGGAGGCAGCAGUGGGGAAUUUUGGACAAUGGGCGCAAGCCUGAUCCAGCAAUGCCGCGUGCAGGAAGAAGGCCUUCGGGUUGUAAACGGCUUUUGUACGGAGCGAAAAGGCUCCCUCUAAUACAGGGGGCUCAUGACGGUACCGUAAGAAUAAGCACCGGCUAACUACGUGCCAGCAGCCGCAGUAA
rnacentral:rRNA from 1 species